CCUAAUCUGCCGAAGGACACAGGUUCGGGGUGUUACACAAUGGUAAGUUAAUUUUUUGUUAUACGAACUUACUAAGCGUUAAAUGCUUACUCUGUCUUAUUUCCUCUGUUUUAUAGUACUCGGAGGCUCGUAAAGGUUGGAAGCUGGUCGGAGCUACAUCACACUAUCCCUCGAACUUUUUGGUAUAUAUAUAAAUAGUAAACUAAUUUUGGUAAUAAUGACAUGUAUAGGUUAAAUGUUACCAUUGAUGACAAUUUAAUUUUGGUUGAAAUUAGCCAUU
rnacentral:lncRNA from 1 species